rnacentral:rRNA from 1 species
AAUCUUCCGCAAUGGACGAAAGUCUGACGAGCCACCGCGCGGGGAUGAAGAAGGGUUUUCGGUCGGUAAACCCCGGUGGCCGGGAAGAACGCAUGGGUGGUAACUGCACCCGUUGGUACGGUACCCUGGAAGAAAGCCCCGGCUAACUAAGUGCCAGCAGCCGCGGUAAUACGUAGGGGGCAAGCGUUGUCCGGAAUUAUUGGGCGUAAAGCGCGGGCAGGCGGCCAUGUAAGUCUCGUGUUUAAUCCCGGAGCUCAACACCGGUCCGCACGAGAAACUGUGUGGCUUGAGUGCAGAAGAGGAGAGUGGAAUUCCACGUGUAGCGGUGAAAUGCGUAGAGAUGUGGAGGAACACCAGUGGCGAAGGCGACUCUCUGGUCUGUAACUGACGCUGAGGCGCGAAAGCGUGGGUAGCGAACAG